rnacentral:rRNA from 1 species
GUGCCAGCAGCCGCGGUAAUACGUAGGUGGCAAGCGUUGUCCGGAUUUACUGGGCGUAAAGGGUGUGUAGGCGGUUACUUAAGUGUGAUGUGAAAUCCCCGGGCUUAACUUUGGAGCGUCAUUGCAAACUGGGUGUCUUGAGUGCAGAAGAGGAAAGUAGAAUUCCAAGUGUAGCGGUGAAAUGCGUAGAGAUUAGGAAGAAAACCAGUGGCGAAGGCGGCUUUCUGG